CCGAAAAUUCCACAAAAAAAUCUAAUUGUCAUAAUAUUAAACAUAAACAGCGGCAACGUUGCGGUGAGUGAUCUGUCGCUGACGCCAUCAAGCUAGAAUCGGCUAUUUAUAGAACCGACCUGCCGGACCAGCGCGUUAGUGUUAGAGAACGAUCUGGAUUGCUUUGAACGGGAUAAAUACGCACGGCGCGGCGACAUUGCGCUUAGUUUAAAACUGAACGCGUAACCAACGUCCAGCGGUUGGGUUAGUAGAGAACAACAAAAAUAAUAUUAUGGCAAGCAGUUGUAAGAAGGUAAAGACAUACCACUUUCAUUCGGAAUGGGAAGAACAAUACUUUUUUACAGAAGUUAAAGAUAAAAAUGUGUGUUUGUUAUGUAAUACUUCGGUCUCCGUUGCUAAAAAAGGAAAUAUUGAGAGACAUCAUAAAACUGUACAUUCUAAUUUUGAAAAAUCAUUCCCACUACAUUAUGCCGCCAGAAAGGAGAAACUGAAACAGUCAAAAAAACAGUUAAUUGGACAACAAUCAAUAUUUUUAAGAACAGUCGACAAAAAUAAGGCUGCAACUGAAGCAUCGUACCGUGUGUCCCAGAUAAUUGCACAAAAA
rnacentral:lncRNA from 1 species